UCAAUGUGGAUUUGAUUAGUACAAACUGAAGAAGUGUAACGUGAUGUUUUGUUUGGGGUCUGGAUUCACCUCAGGAUCAGGAGAAAUACUGUAAAAUGACGAGUCCACUGAGAGGAGAGGUGAUCAGAUUGUACAAGAACCUUCUGUAUCUUGGCCGGGAAUAUCCAAAAGGCUCAACAUACUUCAGGGAGCGUCUUAAAGCGGCUUUCAUGAAGAACAAAGAUGUCACGGAUCCUGAGAAAAUAAAGCAUCUGGUCGACCGUGGAGAGUUUGUGAUCAAAGAACUUGAGGCGAUGUAUUACCUCAGGAAAUACAGAACACUGAAGAAACGCUAUUAUGAGGAGGAGCACUGAUCUCUCACGAGAUUCCCUCUUGCAUGUGCCAGAAUGAAAUAUGUGCUUUUUCGGUGGUUGCCUUGCACAUAUUUAUAUGUCUGUACCCUAAUAUGAUGUAUAACAUAUUACAAGUUGACAACGUGAUUAUUUGUCCUACCACGGAUUCAAGAGACGGUUUCUUAUGUUCAUGUAUAUAUUCUCGGAGUCUGAGCAGAUAACUCUACAUCACAGAAAACGAAGUUGGUUUUUCCAAACGUUGUUUCCAGCUCACGUGCCAGAUCCAGCUUUCCUGAACUGCCUGUAAUCUCGUAAGCCCUGGUUGCAGUUUUAGCUGCCUGCCUCCUUGGACACAAGACAUGCCAUCAGCUUUACAGAACAAAGGAGGCAGUAUGCAGUGCGCAUAUGAUAUGAGAUGUAUCAUACCUGUGAAUACGCUGACGAUAAGAC